UAGAGUUUGAUCCUGACUCAGAGUGAACGCUGGCGGCGUGCCUAACACAUGCAAGUCGAACGAUGAAGCUAUUUAUAAAGCUUGCUUUAUUUAUGGCGGAUUAGUGGCGCACGGGUGAGUAAUGUAUAGAUAAUCUGCCCAUAAGAUGGGGACAACAGUUGGAAACGACUGCUAAUACCCAAUAUACCUUUUUAACAUAAGUUAAAUAGGGAAAUGUUUUUCGCUUAUGGAUGAGUCUAUAUCCCAUCAGCUAGUUGGUAAGGUAAAAGCUUACCAAGGCAAUGACGGGUAGCUGGUCUUAGAGGACGAUCAGCCACACUGGAACUGAGACACGGUCCAGACUCCUACGGGAGGCAGCAGUGGGGAAUAUUGCACAAUGGGGGGAACUCUGAUGCAGCAACGCCGCGUGGAGGAUGACGCAUUUCGGUGUGUAAACUCCUUUUAUUUAGGUAGAAAUUUGACGGUACUAAAUGAAUAAGCACCGGCUAACUCCGUGCCAGCAGCCGCGGUAAUACGGAGGGUGCAAGCGUUACUCGGAAUUACUGGGCGUAAAGGACGCGUAGGCGGUUUGAUAAGUUAGAUGUGAAAUCCUAUGGCUUAACCAUAGAACUGCAUCUAAAACUGCCAAACUAGAGUGAGGGAGAGGUCAGUGGAAUUAGUGGUGUAGGGGUAAAAUCCGUAGAGAUCACUAGGAAUACUCAUAGCGAAGGCGACUGACUGGAACUUUACUGACGCUGAGGCGUGAAAGCGUGGGGAGCAAACAGGAUUAGAUACCCUGGUAGUCCACGCCCUAAACGAUGUACACUAGUUAUUGUGGUGCAAGUCACUGCAGUAAUGCAGCUAACGCAUUAAGUGUACCGCCUGGGGAGUACGGUCGCAAGAUUAAAACUCAAAGGGAUAGACGGGGACCCGCACAAGCGGUGGAGCAUGUGGUUUAAUUCGAAGAUACGCGAAGAACCUUACCUGGACUUGACAUCCUAUUAAUAAUUUAGAGAUAGAUUAGUGCUAGUUUACUAGAAAAUAGUGACAGGUGCUGCACGGCUGUCGUCAGCUCGUGUCGUGAGAUGUUGGGUUAAGUCCCGCAACGAGCGCAACCCUCGUCGUUAGUUGCUAACAGUUCGGCUGAGCACUCUAACGAGACUGCCUGGGUAACCAGGAGGAAGGUGAGGACGACGUCAAGUCAUCAUGGCCCUUAUGUCCAGGGCUACACACGUGCUACAAUGGUUGGGACAAUGGGACGCAAUACCGCGAGGUGGAGCAAAUCUAUAAACCCAAUCUCAGUUCGGAUAGCACUCUGCAACUCGAGUGCUUGAAGCUGGAAUCGCUAGUAAUCGUAGAUCAGCAAUGCUACGGUGAAUACGUUCCCGGGUCUUGUACUCACCGCCCGUCACACCAUGGGAAUUUAGUUCACCCGAAGCCGGAAUGCCAAAUUGGCUACCGUCCACGGUGGGCUCAGUAACUAGGGUGAAGUCGUAACAAGGUAACC
rnacentral:rRNA from 1 species